UAGGCCCAAAACCUGCACCCGUAGGCCCAGGAGCUUUGGGCGUCCGGGUGCAGGCUUUGGGCCUAGGUGCCUGGGCCUCGCAGGCUUACCAUCGAGUGCCGAAUAAGGAGCAAUCCUUACUCCGCACUUGACUGUAAUUCCUGCGAGGCCCAGCUAGGCCCGGCCCAAAUCCUGGCACUUGACUGUAAGUCCUGCGAGGCCCGGCCCAAAACCAGGCUUUGGGCCUAUGCGCUUUGGGCCUAUGCGCUUUGGGCCUAUGCGCAUAGGCCUGGCCGGGGGGGGGGGAGGAGGUUGGGGGUGGCUGAGUCAUCCUGCGCCUCCCCCCCCUUUGCUCGGCUCCUUACCAGGCAUUUGAACAGUACUGGCUGCUGCUAUGGGCCUUGGCCGGCACUUUCCCCUCCUCCAAAAAACAAAACAAAACAAAAAACCCACAAAACAAAACAAAAACAAAAACUAAUGGAUGACCUCCCAAUUUUGGGAGUUCGGACGAAAGCAGAUGUGGGUCUCGACGAAAGCCGGGACACAAAACAAAACAAGAAACAAGGCUACAAAUCCAAGAAAGGAGACCACAUUUUCCAACACUCAUCUUCUUCAGGAACCACAUCCUCAAGCAGCCUCCACACCUGUUGCUCCUUUUCUUCCAGGAUAGGCAUCUUCUUGGGAACCCGGAUCUUUGUCUUCAAGUAGUCUCCUGCUGCUUUGGGCCCUGUUUGAUGUCAGGAUCCUCUUGUGUGUAGUACAAUCAACAUCUCCCAGCAACGGCCAAGUAAAGGGAUUAUGGGGGGAAUAAUCCACCAGCAGCAGGAACAGCAGUAGUAGCUGAAGUGGGGAACAAAAGCACCCCUUCUCAUGCAAAUGGAUGCUGAACCAAUGAGGCAGGAACUCCAGGGAGGUCCCGAAUUUGACCUCCCAGCUGGGUCACUCUCAGAUACAACAGCCUAGGAAAGCUGCAGGCUGGGCAACUCCAGCCUAACACCUGGGAAACCCAUUACUGGAAGCAAGACAGCAGGUCAAUUCACGGAAAACAAAGUUUUGAGGGUAUCUUCCCUUUUAACCCCCUUCGCCUUUUUUUCCUCCAGAAAGUGUCAUAGAUAUUUCACUGAACAAAUCUCCCAAUUAAAAUUCUGAAGAAAACUA